rnacentral:lncRNA from 1 species
GUACCUUCUGGGAGCAGCUGGGCAAGCUGACCAGAUCUUCCUUCUGCUGCAAGAGGAUGCUGUGUAGGAGGGGCUCUGGGUCUUCUCCAACGAAGACAGGUUAUAACAGAUGGCCUUUUUACCUAACCUGAGCGAGCCACUGUACUGACAGUGACUGGAGGCAACGCAGCCCUUCUUGAAGAGCCCCUCAUUCCCAUCCUGGGGCAUCUGAGUUCCUGAAGUGGGCACAGUGUUUACAGAGUCGGCAAUGGGAUGUGCAGCUUCGCAUCAUCUUAAGGCAGAUCAAUGCGUCGCCUGCCUUGCCCUGCUCUCACCAGUAGAGAUGUGGUAGCCCGUUGGUCUUCCUGCUAUUGCUGUGAUAAGAAGCCCCCAAAAUGUUUCCGUUGCAGCCAUCAUGUCAAUCCAGGCCUUGAUGCAGUUGAGCACUGAAGAUACUUGGCCCUCCUUGUAACACAGCUUUACUUUGGUCCUGCGUGGUUUAAGGCACCAGACUCUCACUGGAGUUUACCUAAGGACUUGGGAUCUCACCAUUUUUAGUGGUAUAUGGAUACUUCAAACAAAGCAUCGGAGAAUUUUUAGUGUUCUUACUUAAAGAAAACCUGAGGUCAGAAACCGAGCUUUCUCAGGAAAUCUGUGGUCAGAGCAGGAAAGAGGACCCAGGUGUCCCGAGCUCUUAACGUUCAGCCUUUCCUCUCCUGCCCCCAAGCUGCCUGAGAGCAUGUUUGGAAGGAUGCCUGCUUGCUCAGAUACGGUGCAGACCUUCCUUCUUCUCUCGCCACAGCUGUGAACUUCUAGGAGGUCCUUAUACUCUCAGCCGGAACACGUCUGAGUACGUAGACGAAACGUCAGGACCAGGACUGAGUGUGUGCCACUGAGAAGAGAAAUCCCAUCUGUGCUGUGGAGCAGGAGCUUGGUUUUGGUUGUGAUUUCUCCCCACCAGCUGGUCUGAGUAAUUACAUAAUGUAUCGAGCCAAGACAUCCUGCUUUAUGCAACAAGUAAAUUCAUUUACAACCAUCUUUUAAAGCAAAGAAGAUAUACACUGCAUGUCCUCCUUUAACUGCACUACUUUUAAGAGUGCAAUCAACAAGCUAUUCAUUAGCUGGCUAGCAUAACAGUCUCAGAGGAGGCUGUGCCUGUUUUUCUUCUGCCCAGGACCUGCUCUGGUGUCAGGAGGUGAUGCAGUAGGUGCCUGCUGUGGCACAUGACCUUUCCCAAGGUGUGAACAGAGCUUUCUUGGUUGCCUCACACUCCUUACAGGAACCGCGGGGUGAGUGCCUGGGAACAGAUCGCUUUCCUGGUUGCAUCUGUGCUGUUUCUCUCCAUGUGGACUGGGAAAUGUGUAUGGGGCAGGCUCCGUACAGGGGAAUAGCAGGGCAUUGCUGUAGGUACUAACAUUGGCAAUAGGGAAAGCUGGCACUGUAUCACUGCUCUCUUCUUGGAUCCAAGACAAGGUCUCACUGUAAGGUACAAAGGAAUAAGGCCAACCACAGCCACUGUCAGCUCUGCUUCCCCACAGACGUGGUAUGUUAUGAAGACAAAAGCCCGGGAAGCAAGAACUCCACCAGAGAGGGAACAGGUGGAGGAAACGUGAAAUACAUCCCAGCAGAUCCAUUAUGGACAGUAUUAGCACUUCAUCUGCAACGCAUGACAUCGUAUCACUGUUCCAGCUGCCGAAUCUUUGAAGUGCCUUGUGAAACUUGUUCAGAACUCUGCAAGAGGAUUUAGCUGCUGAAGCUCCCCGACCUGUUUCAGCAGGGGGCUGUGGGCAGUUGGCAGUUAUUGGCAGGACGAGGCUGAGGAGCUAAUGCUGGUGCUAGCAGGAAGGAGGCAGGCUGACAUCGUGGGUUAGGACUCCUAGGAAGUAUUAGUAAAGAAUAGCCCAUUUGUCUUUUUCCCUGCAAAAUAAAAAGCAAGCAUGCAAAUCAACAUGCACACACACCUGUGGGUGAUUGACGUGUUGGGCUGUUAUUGCCUUAUCCCUUGCACCUGCUUGCAUAGCUGUGACACCCAGAUUUGACUCUUGGGGAUCUCACGUGCUGUGAAGACACAUCUUACGUUGGGUGGUAUCCUCGAAAAUCCCUGUGCUAAGCAGAGCAAGUGCAAAGGUAAUAAGCGGGUGGGGGUGGAAAUGAAGAGGUCAACAAGAAGGGAAGGGAAAAGCUUCUGGAUGCCAUUCAGGAUAAGAUGGCUGGAUAGAGAUGGAAUGGGAAUAUUACAGAGGAACAAGCCAGAUAUAGUACAAGUAGAAGCCUGGUUCUUCUGGGUGGCCAGGUGGGGAUCUAGGUCUGCAGCACAACAGAGAGAGCGGCCAAGUCAAUCUCAGCUUCAACAAGCAUACUGCAAUAGCUGAAAGAAAACAUUUAAGAAAAUGUCUACCAUCUAAAUGAAAGCUUGUCUGGGCUAGUUUAAUCUGUAUGGCGGAUGUUUUUUAUGUAUCAUGUGACUUGAUGCUACAGCACUCACUCCACGUGGUUAUCGCCAGAGCAAUGGCAGCAGCGCGUGCCACAUUUUCUGCCUUUAGAAACACAAAGCCUUGUCUCACAGAAGCUCAGACAUGCCCUGGCUGAUGGGAGCCGCAUCCUUCUGCGUGAUGGUUUAAAAAUAACAUGUGCGCACGCAGAGCAACAAGACAUGCCUUCCCUGUUCCUGCGGCUUCCUGAGAACACAGCCGGAUGUUUUCAGGCCAUGCUAGGGAUGGCCCAGGGAGAGGGGCCAUAGAAGAGUUAGCAGGGAUGGGUCUGAUCACAGGACGUGGAUGGAGAAAUGGCUAGUCAUAUCUCCAGAUCUGACUGCAGAUAGCAGUAUCAUAUUAUUACUCUAUAUACGAUGGUCUGCUGCAGAUUUCUGUGUCGUUGUGCCAGUGCUGAGUGAUUAUAUUGCCAUACACUAAAAAAAGAUGGCAAGAGGCUAUGCUGGUUUGCAACCUGACUCAAUGUUUUUAGAGCCUGACUAAAAGCAGAAGAAAGAAAAGAUGGUUGCCUGCAUCUGGAUCAUACAUUGCUUGGGUUACAGCAAACAGGGCUCUUUUGUACUAGAGGAUGCUUGGGGCAGUCUGAGAUUCCAGACAUUGGUGACUUGUCCUUCACGAGCAUCUGUAUCAGAGACCUCAUCUAAUGGUCAUCAUAGACAAACAUUCUCAAUACUCAGUGAGUUAUGCGGUUACACAGAAUUUGUUUCUUAACAAAAACUGCUUUGAGAGGUGCUGUGCUGUAGCGUGUUCCUUCUUGCUUUGUGGGCCUGGUGCAAAUCAUGACCUGCCAUGCUCCCUCCUUGGGACUGUCUCCCACAAUUUGCCCGAUUUGAGAGCAAAGAAGGAUGAAGAAGCAUUUCUCCUGGCUCAGCUACACAACUUCUUCUGUAUAUUCAAGUUGGGUAUUAGGAAUGAUUUCUUCUCAGAAAAAGUGGUGAGGCACUGGCACAGACUGCCCAGGGACGUGGUGGAGUCACCAUCUCUGUGGAAUGAAAAAUCCACCCUGAGCUCUUAUAUACAGAGAUACUAUCUUUGCUUCAGGAAAUAUCUGGUAUUUCUGGGGAAGUGUGACUACAGGCUUUCCUGGGGUUUAUAUCUUCCUUAGGCAUCUGCUACUGGCUGCUCUCAGAUGGCAGGGUGCCCAGCUAUGGCCCUUGGUCUGUUUUUAAGUGAGACCAGACAGGUUGGCUGCCAUUGUCAGCCUGUUCCUGACAGGUACAACACCCUGCUUCAAAAAUCAUCAUCUCCCCCAAGCUCAUUCGCAGUUCCCUGAUUGGAUGGAAGCUUUCAAUGCAGAAUUCUGCUCGGUGGUGGUGAGGAAGCCCUGUCCGUGCCAGAAACCUUCAUGUUGGAGAGCGAUGGUUGUUUCUUGGGAAAGGCUUGCAGAGCCACAGGGUGCACUAUUUCUGUGUGGUCCUGAUCCAGCUAACCUGGCCCAUGAUACGUGAAGGAAGCAGUAUACUGCUGUGUUGCUUUCCAUAUGUUAACACAGUUCUGGUGCCUUUUGGUAAUACAAGAAAAAGGCCCCGCCUGUUUUGCUAAGCACUGCACAAAGGUUUCCAGGGCAGUGCCUGGAAAUCUGUUAGAUUCCAG